rnacentral:rRNA from 1 species
AUUGAACGCUGGCGGCAUGCCUUACACAUGCAAGUCGAACGGCAGCACGGGGCAACCUGGUGGCGAGUGGCUAACGGGUGAGUAAUGCAUCGGAACGUACCUUUCAGUGGGGGAUAACGUAGCGAAAGUUACGCUAAUACCGCAUAUUCUGUGAGCAGGAAAGCAGGGGAUCGCAAGACCUUGCGCUGAUUGAGCGGCCGAUGUCAGAUUAGCUAGUUGGUGAGGUAAAGGCUUACCAAGGCGACGAUCUGUAGCGGGUCUGAGAGGAUGAUCCUCCACAAGGGAACUGAGACACGGUCCAGACUCCUACGGGAGGCAGCAGUGGGGAAUUUUGGACAAUGGGGCAACCCUGUUCCAGCCAUGCCGCGUGAGUGAAGAAGGCCUUCGGGUUGUAAAGCUCUUUCGGCCGGGAAGAAAUCGCACGGGCUAAUACCCUGUGUGGAUGACGGUACCGGAAUAAGAAGCACCGGCUAACUACGUGCCAGCCGCCGCCGUAACAC